rnacentral:rRNA from 1 species
ACGGCCGCGGUACCCUAACCGUGCGAAGGUAGCAUAAUCACUUGUUCUUUAAAUGAGGACUAGUAUCAACGGCAUCACGAGGACUACACUGUCUCCUCUCUUCAAUCAGUGAAACUGAUCUCCCCGUGAAGAAGCGGGGAUUUAUUUAUAAGACGAGAAGACCCCAUGGAGCUUUAAACCCAAUGUAUAACCCAACACACAAAUCAAUAAAGCCCUGAGGAUCUAUACACUGGUUUUAGGUUGGGGAGACCACGGAGUAAAACUAAACCUCCACAACAAACUGGCUAAAGCCCUGAUCUAUGAACUACAACUCUAAGAGCCAACAAAUUGUUGCCAACGACCCAAUCACUUGAUUAAUGAACCAAGUUACCCUGGGGAUAACAGCGCAAUCUACUUCAAGAGCCCCUAUCGACAAGUAGGUUUACGACCUCGAUGUUGGAUCAGGGUAUCCAAGUGGCGCAGCCGCUACUAAUGGUUCGUUUGUUCAACGACUAAAACCCUACGUGAUCUGAGUUCAAACCG